rnacentral:lncRNA from 10 species
GGAAGAUCACAUGAGCCCCGGGGGUCGAGACUGCAGUGAGUCCUGGUUGUGCCACUGCACUCCAGCCUGGGCAAUACAGUGAGAGCCUAUCUCUCUCGCUCGCUCCGCUUUUUUUUUUUUUUUUUUUUUUUUUGAGACAGAGUUUCAGUGUGUCGGCCCAGGCUGGAGUGCAGUGGUGUGAUCUCAGCUCACUGCAACCUCUACCUCCCAGGUUCAAGUGAUUCUCCUGCCUCAGCCUCCUGAGUGGCUGGGAUUACAGGCACACGCCACCACGCCUGGCUAAUUUUUGUGUGUUUAGUAGAGACAGGGUUUCGCCGUGUUGGCCAGGCUUGUCUUGAACUCCUGACCUCAGGUGCUCCUCCUGCUUCGGCCUCCCAAUGUCCUGAGAAUACAGGUGUAAGCCACUGUACCCAGCCGAGACCCUAUCUCUCUCUCUUUUUUUUUUUUUUUUUUUUGACCCUAUCCCUUUUUUUUUUUUUUUUUUUUUUAAGACAGAGUCUUACUCUGUCACCAGGCUGGAGUGCAGUGGCACAAUCUUGGCUCACUGCAACCUCCGCCUCCCCGGGUCCAGUGAUUCUCCUGCCUCAGCCUCCCAAGUAGCUGGGACUACAGGUGCGAGCCACCAUGCCCAGCUACUUUUGUUUUGUUUUGUUUUGUUUUGUUUUUGAGAUGGAGUUUCGCUCUUGUUGCCCAGGCUGGAGUAGCUGGGAUUAUAGGCAUGCGCCACCAUGACAGCUAAUUUUGUAUUUUUAGUAGAGACAGGGUUUCUCCAUGUUGGUCAGGCUAGUCUCGAACUCCCGACCUCAGGUGAUCUGCCCGCCUCAGCCUCCCAAAGUAUUAGGAUUACAGGCAUGAGCUACCGCGCCCAGCCCACCCAGCUAAUUUUUGUAUUUUUAGUGGAGACGGGGUUUCAUGAUGUUGGCCAGGAUGGUCGCAAUCUCCUGACCUCAUGAUCUGGUCACCUUGGCCUCCCAAAGUGCUAGGAUUACAGGUGUGAGCCACUGCACCUGGCCCCCCUAUCUCUUUAAAAAAAAAAAAAAAGAAAGAAAAAAGAAGAGAAAAGAAAGGAAAAGAAAUCUGCUCUGCUUAUCAACACCCACCCAGGUCAACUUCACACCCGGAGUUGAAGCUAUAAUCUCCCCAAGACAUACAUACUCACACCCAAGUGUACCCACCCAACCACAGAAGCAUACCCCAGGAGACCUGGGUCUCAGCCACAAUUCACCCACAGAAGCACAACCAGAGAUUCACCCCCUCUCCUGGAGUGUGUCCCACAACCACCCCAGGAGACCCAAUCGCUUGCCACCUGGGUGGCCUGAGCGCCCAUGGGGUCCCACUGUGGGGCCUGGGCGUGAUCCAAAGAGCAUGAGCUUUGACAUUUAACAUUUAACAAGCUCUGCAGCCCUGGGGACUCAGUUUUCUCAUCUUCAAAUGGGGAUACAGUGCACACUCAGCCCAGGCUUAACACUUCACAUGCAAGGGAGCAAUUAUGAGACUGAGAGAGGUCGUGUGACUUGCCCAAGGUCACACAGCUGGUGAGAGGCAGAGCCGGGAUCUUCUGCCAGAAUGCGUGCAUGCAUGCACAGAGUGCUGCGGCUGUGCCCUCUCCUAGGCCACCCUGUCUGGUCCCUGGCUGCUCUGGCUUUUGCCUUGUGGAUACAGGGAGGAAAAUCAGAGUUGGGCAGCUGCAGCCCAAGCUCAGGAUCCUGGGACUUGGGGCAGGCAGGUGGGCGGGUGGUUCUGCUCUGCCCCUGCCAGGAAAGCCUGGACAUCACCUGAGGCUAGGUAGGGGUGGGGUGAGGAGAGGCAGUGCUUUGGCUGCUGUCCCGCUGGACUGAACAGUCAUCAUCAUCAUCAUCAUGAGCUGGUAGAGCCCUCUUGAGGCUGGGGUGGGGGCUAUUAUAAUCCCAUUAUCCGCAGGAGAAUACUGAGGCUCAGAGGAGAAGAAAGGGCCUUUCCCAUGCAGGUGAGUCCAAGUCUGACCCCUCUGGGAGCCUGGAACAGUGUGGGAAUUCAGGGAACCUCAAGUGGGUGGCAGGGCAAGAUGGAGACCGUGGGUCCUCCCCGCCGAUCCAUGGCAGGCACCCAUUUGUCCUGCUCCACUCCUUUGCAUGCCCCCACUCGUGUCCACUCUGAGGCAGGCUGACAGACAUCCCAGGGGCCCUCCCAGCUUCAGUCCCCACACACUGAGUCCUCUCAGAUGCAUCACUUCCCUUCUCUGAGCCCCCUUCCAGGCAGAUCUGUAGGGACUUUCUAGGUUCACUGAGCAUGUUUGUGUAGGUUGCUCACUGCACAAAGGCACCUGGGAGAGAGAUCACACCCCACUCUGCUACACCGUGCACUCUGGUGAGGCUGCAUGUUGCCUGGAGGAGAGACGUCUUUCCCUAGCUGGCAAAAAGGUGCUGUGGGGGCCGGUGCAGCCCUGCGGAGGAGAGCCUGUGAGAACGCAUGUGUGCGAGGGUUCACACCCGGAGGGCACUGGGCCUCUUCUGUCCAGCCUGUGAGUUAGGGCUCCCAUGCAGGUGACUGAUAAGGAAACCUACAGAAGAGCUGCCCAGAAAACAGUCUCCUGAGUAGGAAAGGCAAUGACUGAGCCCCAGCUGGAGGGACGCUGCUGGAGACCACCGGCUCCUAGGGUCUGUGUCCAGGGUGAGCCACUGCCACCGCGCCCCCGCAGGCUCAUGACAGACCCUCGGCCCAGGGCUGAGGCUGCUGCACCUUGCUCCUCUAUUCUCCCAGGCAAAGAGCUGAACUGUGGAGGGCGGGGAGCUCCCAAGUGGAUUUCAGGGACAAGUGCCCCCUGACCCCGGCCACCCUGCCCGCUACAGUGCCUGAGAUUCCACCAAGACACUCCUCGUCUAAGGAUAAGGCAUAGUCUACACAGCACAGAGCCUUGCCUCUGCAUUCCAGCCGGCUCUGCCUUUCACUGUGGGCCUGGGUGAGGUCCUUGUCCUCACUAAGCCUGUGUCUCUAACAGGGAUAUCAGGGGCCACCUGCAGAGAGAGGGCCUAGGGGCGGGGGGUCUGGGAAAGGGUUUUGUAAACUACAGGUAAGGAGGCUAUUAUUAAGUUGCAGGGCUAAACCUUGGGUCUGCUAUGGAUAGAUAGUAAGGCUUUCUGCAAGUUCCUGCUCCUCCUGAGCCUCAGUUUCCCCCGGAGAAACGACAGAUAAGGAAGGGUCUGGGCCGCCAUGAUUCCCUCUUCCAGGGGUUAGGCUCCUUGGGAGUAGGACAAGUCUGCCCAGGACCCAGGACCUGGCACUUGCCACAUAGACGCAGCCUGUGGCCCUGUCGCAAGAACAUUCCAAACCCAGAGUCUGACAGGUGACUCCACUGACACCCCACCCAAUGGCCACCCCUGGAGCCUGGGCCUGCAGAUGCCUCCCAUCCAUAUGGAGUCCUGCCGUGUUCCCCAUCGAAGGGAGGGCACUUGGGAAUGGACACUGCGGGACACACGCCUGUGUCGGAACCAGCCCUGUUGCCCUGGCGAUGGCUCAGGUCCUGGGCACCCACGGGGGCUAUUAGUGAGUGUGGGAGGGGGUUUCCAUGGUGGCGGUCCCGAGGGGGCAGACGCAGGGCCCAGGGAGGGGUGAGGGCUGGCGGGACCUUUCUCCUUUGUCCGAGGCACACUAGGCCUUUGUUCUUGCCUGGAUCCCUUUGACAGAUGUGACUAGAACCAUGGGUGCGGGGAGGACUUGGGUUAGAGUCCCCCAUCCCAGCGAGUACUGAACCACCCUGGAGGGAGGGGAAGGAGGGCAGAAGAGGGGGUAGAGCCCCUGGACUCGCCAUCCACUGGGGCGCCCUCCUCCUGCAGGUGCAAAAGCCACUCCUGUCCCCAGAGGCUGGGCAGGGCAACUUUCAAUUGGCUCUUAUUACUGUAAACACCUUCCCCAGCGGCCAGUGGGCAGCCUCGGUGUGUCCCCAGGGCAGGACCAGGAGAGGGCGGGGCUGGGAAGGGCAGAUGAGGGAGGAGGGGAAGGGGCUGCCUGUCUGGGGUUGGGAGGAGGGCAUUUGAUCCAGCGCCAUCCAAGGCAUCUGUUCAAGAAGAUUUUAUUCCUGGUGCCCUCUGGGGUCCCUUGACUCAGCCAACCCCUUCCCUGACU